AGCAAAUCCAGAAGCGCUGACUAACUGAGCACUCCUUGUAGAAGGUUUAGCUUUUAUUGAUUGAGGUGCGAUGGGAACUCGACACUGGAUUCCAGUGGCAUCACAGAGGACCACUUCACCUAGCAACAACCUUUGUAGUACAGACAGCCAAACAUACAUGUGGUUUCUCCAUACCUCACAACCUCUGAGGAUGCCUGCCAUAGAUGUGGACGAAACGUCAGGAGAGAAUACUUCUAGAACAUGGCCAUACAGCCCGGAAAACAUACAACAACCCUGUGAUCCUGGCCAUGAAAGACUUCGACAACAUACAUGUGUGUGUAUGUGUAUGUAUGUAUUUAUUUGUACAAUUUGGAUAAUCCACCCCUUCCUGAUGAUUUGACACACUAGCACUUUUGACCCAGGUUUCUCCAGAUUUUAUCUAAGAUUUUAUCUUUUGUCCCUAUAUGUGAUUUUUUGUGACUUGUUUUUACUGUUAUUUGAUGUGUUUUAUCGCUUUGUUUUAUUGUUGUUGACUGGGCUUGGCCCCAUGUAAGCAGCCCUGAG
rnacentral:lncRNA from 11 species